CAUUGAGCUGCGCCGUGCUGAGCCGGUGGGAGCAGAGUGUGAGGCUCGGGGUUCAUGGUGUUUAUUGGGAUUAUUCCUGGUUCCAGAUCAGGAGGUUAGUAUUGUCCUCAGUGACCUCCCUGGAGCAUCAUGUGACCUGGUAAUACAGCCAUUCAGUUAUUACUGAGCAGCAUGGAGGAUACUGGAUCAGUAAUACAAUGCUGCCAAUAAUCAGACUAGUACAUUAACAUGGGAGAGGGGGGGGCAGCAUGGAGAG